GUUCUCCCCGUGUUUGUGUGGGUUUCCUCCGGGUGCUCCGGCUUCCUCCCACAUCCAAAGAUAUGCAGAAUAGGUGGAUUUGAAACUUUAAAUUGUGUGUGGGGG